GACGAACGCUGGCGGCGUGCUUAACACAUGCCAGUCGAACGGAAAGGCCCUGCUUUUGUGGGGUGCUCGAGUGGCGAACGGGUGAGUAACACGUGAGUAACCUGCCCUUGACUUUGGGAUAACUUCAGGAAACUGGGGCUAAUACCGGAUAGGAGCUCCUGCUGCAUGGUGGGGGUUGGAAAGUUUCGGCGGUUGGGGAUGGACUCGCGGCUUAUCAGCUUGUUGGUGGGGUAGUGGCUUACCAAGGCUUUGACGGGUAGCCGGCCUGAGAGGGUGACCGGCCACAUUGGGACUGAGAUACGGCCCAGCCUCCUACGGGUGGCAGCAGUGGGGAAUAUUGCACAAUGGGCGGAAGCCUGAUGCAGCAACGCCGCGUGCGGGAUGACGGCCUUCGGGUUGUAAACCGCUUUCGCCUGUGACGAAGCGUGAGUGACGGUAAUGGGUAAAGAAGCACCGGCUAACUACGUG
rnacentral:rRNA from 1 species